rnacentral:rRNA from 1 species
UGAGGAAUUUUGCGCAAUGGCCGCAAGGCUGACGCGGCAACGCCGCGUGGGUGGUGAAGGCCUUCGGGUCGUAAAGCCCUGUCAGGUGGGAAGAAAGGCCUGGAGAGGAAAGGUUUCAGGUUUGACGGCACCACCAGAGGAAGCACCGGCUAACUCCGUGCCAGCAGCCGCGGUAAUACGGAGGGUGCGAGCGUUAUUCGGAAUUACUGGGCGUAAAGCGCGUGUAGGCGGGGGGACAAGUCUGAUGUGAAAGCCCUGGGCUUAACCUGGGAAGCGCAUUGGAAACUGUUUUUCUUGAGUACUGGAGAGGAAGGGGGAAUUCCCGGUGUAGAGGUGAAAUUCGUAGAGAUCGGGAGGAAUACCAGUGGCGUAGGCGCCCUUCUGGACGGUAACUGACGCUGAGACGCGAAAGCGUGGGGAGCAAACAG